rnacentral:rRNA from 1 species
UACGUAGGGUGCAAGCGUUGUCCGGAAUUAUUGGGCGUAAAGCGCGCGUAGGCGGCUACUUAAGUCGGAUGUGAAAGCCCCUGGCUCAACUGGGGAAGUGCACCCGAAACUGAGUGGCUUGAGUACAAAAGAGGGUCGCGGAAUUCCCGGUGUAGAGGUGAAAUCGUAGAUAAUCGGGAGGAACACCGGUGGCGAAGGCGGCGACCUGGGUUGAUACUGGACGGCUGAGGCGCGAAAUGCGUGGGGAGCAAACAGGAUUGAAGAA